rnacentral:rRNA from 1 species
AGAGUUUGAUCCUGGCUCAGGAUGAACGCUGGCGGCGUGCCUAAUACAUGCAAGUCGAACGCAGGCAGCAAUGCCUGAGUGGCGACCGGGUGAGUAACACGUAGCUGACCUGCCCUAUGGAGGGGGAUAACCCCGCGAAAGCGGGGCUAAUACCGCGUAAGCUCGCUGGGAUUAGAAGCCGGUGAGGAAAGAAGCAAUUCGCCAUAGGAGGGGGCUGCGGGCCAUCAGCUAGUUGGUGAGGUAAUGGCUCACCAAGGCAAUGACGGCUCGGGGACCUGAGAGGGUGACCCCCCACACUGGAACUGACACACGGUCCAGACUCCGACGGGAGGCAGCAGUAAGGGAUAUUGCACAAUGGGCGCAAGCCUGAAGCAGCGACGCCGCGUGGGCGAUGAAGGUUUUCGGAUCGUAAAGCCCUUUUCCUGGUGACGAGCAAGGACGGUAACCAGGGAAUAAGUGUCGGCUAACUACGUGCCAGCAGCCGCGGUAAUAC